AUGGGGACUCACUGUGGUCUGAGUGAGGCCCGGCUCCACAAGGCCGUGUGGCGACGGCUCCGUCAGCGCUCUCUGUCCUUCCCCACAGGGCUGAUGGCGGCCGUGACGUUGGACGAGUCCGGGGGCGGCCUCCAGACGCCCGGAGGAGCGCUCAGCCUCGUCUGCAAGGCCUCCGGCUUCACCUUCAGUGACCGUGGCAUGCACUGGGUGCGACAGGCGCCCGGAAAGGGGCUGGAGUUCGUCGCGGGUAUUAAUGCUGCUGGUAGUGGCACAGGAUACGGGGCAGCGGUGAAGGGCCGUGCCACCAUCUCGAGGGACAACGGGCAGAGCACAGUGAGGCUGCAGCUGAACAACCUCAGGGCUGAGGACACCGCCAUCUACUACUGCGCCAAAAGUGCUUAUGUUCAGAUUGGGAGAUCAGAGCCCAAGGGACGGAGCUGA